rnacentral:tRNA from 1 species
GCAUACUUAGCUAAAUUGGUUAAAGCGCCUAACUUCGAUUAGGAGAUGUAGGGGUUCGAGCCCUCUAGUGUGCU